GAUGAACGCUGGCGGCGUGCCUAAUACAUGCAAGUCGAGCGAACAGACGAGGAUCUUGCUCGUCUGACGUUAGCGGCGGACGGGUGAGUCACACGUGGAUAACCUACCUAUAAGACUGGGAAAACUUCGGGAAACCGGAUCUAAUACCGGAUAAUAUCUUGAACCGCAUGGUUCAAUAGUGAAAGACGGUUUUGCUGUCACGUAUCGAUGGAUCUGCGCCGCAUUAGCUAGUUGGGAAGGUAACGGAUUACCAAGGCAAGGAUGCGUAGCCGAACUGAGAGGGUGAUCGGCCACACUGGAACUGAGACACGGUCCAGAGUCCUACGGGAGGCAGCAGUAGGGAAUCGUCAGCAAUGGGCGAGAGCUUGACGGAGCAACGCCGCGUGAGUGAUGAAGGUCUUCGGAUCGUAAAACUCUGUUAUUAGGGAAGAACAAAUGUGUAAGUAACUAUGCACGUCGUGACGGUACCUAAUCAAAAAGCAACGGCUAACUACGUG
rnacentral:rRNA from 1 species